rnacentral:lncRNA from 1 species
UUCUGGAUCUCUCAGACCCAAUGGUAUUUAUUAUUUGCUCAAACAAGUUCAUAAAUGCAUCACCAUGUAAAUGAUCAAAAAUUAAAUCCAAAUGAUAAUCAUCGAGAUUAGGUGCUCACGGCUUCAGUACAACAUUUGCACCAUUACCGACUCAAAAGAGACUUCACCUUCCCUCAGUUCUCUUCCUUCCUUAAUGUUAGAUGUGUGCCCUAGAUGCC